GAUGAACGCUGGCGGCGUGCCUAAUACAUGCAAGUCGAGCGAACAGACGAGGAGCUUGCUCCUCUGACGUUAGCGGCGGACGGGUGAGUAACACGUGGAUAACCUACCUAUAAGACUGGGAUAACUUCGGGAAACCGGAGCUAAUACCGGAUAAUAUAUUGAACCGCAUGGUUCAAUAGUGAAAGACGGUUUUGCUGUCACUUAUAGAUGGAUCCGCGCCGCAUUAACUAGUUGGUAAGGUAACGGCUUACCAAGGCGACGAUGCGUAGCCGACCUGAGAGGGUGAUCGGCCACACUGGAACUGAGACACGGUCCAGACUCCUACGGGAGGCAGCAGUAGGGAAUCUUCCGCAAUGGGCGAAAGCCUGACGGAGCAACGCUGCGUGAGUGAUGAAGGUCUUCGGAUCGUAAAACUCUGUUAUUAGGGAAGAACAAAUGUGUAAGUAACUAUGCACGUCUUGACGGUACCUAAUCAGAAAGCCACGGCUAACUACGUG
rnacentral:rRNA from 1 species